CCACUUCCACCAUGGCCCUUGCCUCAGAAAGAUUCGGGGACGGUGGUGGGCCGAAGGUACUGUGCACGAUGGUGGGACGAAGGUACUAUGCACGGUGCUGUGUUUAAUUUCAACCGUUCAAAAGUGUUUAGGAUAGUCUAAAUUUUAAAAACUCUUCCCCGAAGCAUUUUUUUUAAAUUCAGGCCAAUAAUUGUCGAGACAGACGGCCUGAAUGUGACACAACACUGUGCAUCACGGAAGGGCCAGCACCACCCGCGUCCAGGACGACUUAUGGUUGUCUUUGAAGUCUUCUUGUGGCCCAAGUUUCCUUAGUAUUAUUUGGGCUAUAAAAAGAGAUGAGCCCUAUAUUCCCUGUAUUACGCUUGAAGGAAAAUGGCUUUAAAAAUGCUUUCUGUCGUUUGGAAAGUCCUUUUGUUUUGUACCCUUCUCUUGGCUUUUCAGGUGGCUGCUAGGGAACUGCUCCAAACUUCCCCUGUCCCUGAGACAGCACCCUCACCCACGAAGAAAUUGGGCAAACGCGAUGACCCGUGGCCCGUGGAGCCAUAAUCCAUGAAAUUAAUUAUUUCAACUCUUUCGGAAUAGGAGGCUCCUCAUCAAGACUAAUGCUUGGGUUUGAGUCUCGCAGUUGUGGGCUGCUAUUUUUGCUUUUCUUUAUUUUUCUAGCAAUAAUUGAAAAAAAAAAGUAAAUUAUCUAAAAUGAAAUUGUAGUGGAUCUUGUAUAAAUAACUUCAAUUGAACAAUAUUGUCGUUUGUUGUUUCAAGCUU